rnacentral:rRNA from 1 species
UAGGCCUAACACAUGCAAGUCGAACGAGAUUAUAGGGUAAGCUUGCUUACCUUAUAUGACAGUGGCGCACGGGUGCGUAACGCGUAUGCAAUCUACCUUAAUCAGGGGGAUAGCCUCUCGAAAGAGAGAUUAAUACCGCAUAACAUUAUGAUAUGGCAUCAUAUUAUAAUCAAACAUUUAUGGGAUUAAGAUGAGCAUGCGUGACAUUAGCUAGUUGGUGAGGUAACGGCUCACCAAGGCAACGAUGUCUAGGGGAUCUGAGAGGAUGACCCCCCACACUGGUACUGAGACACGGACCAGACUCCUACGGGAGGCAGCAGUAAGGAAUAUUGGUCAGUGGACGCAAGUCUGAACCAGCCAUGCCGCGUGCAGGAAGACGGCCCUAUGGGUUGUAAACUGCUUUUAUACGGGAAUAAACCUUCUUUCGUGAAAGAAGCUGA